AGGGGCGUGGCGCAAUUGGUAGCGCACCGGUCUCCAAAACCGGGGGUUGCAGGUUCGAGUCCUGUCGCCCCUGC
rnacentral:tRNA from 1 species